GGUUGGGCUUGGAGCUAGGAUUUUUCUGAGUGCACUGAACCAACUCCCGAGUCUCUAGGACAUUCCUAAAAAAAUUUGAUUUUUUCCCAUAGGAAUGCAUGGGUUAGGGUUAUGGUUAGGGUUAGGGUUGGAGCUAGGGUUAGGGUUAGGGUUAGGGUUGGAGUUAGGGUUAGUGUUGGAGCUAGGGUUAGGGUUGGGCUUGGAGCUAGGAUUUUUCUUGAGUGCAAUGAACCAACUCCCGAGUCUCUAGGACGUUCCUAAA